CUGGUGUUGCAGAGUCGUGCCGUUAGAGGACUUUACCCUCACGGCUGCUUGCUUUGUGUUCCAGGAGUCCGAAUUAGGCACGUCUUUAACCUGAAUUUGUCACGGAUGAAAACAGCAGCUCAGUAAGUUAAAAUUCACUGUGUACAUCUGAUAUUCUCAAAAGUGAUGAAGAGAGUCCCAGGAAGGAAUUUUCAUUAAAGUAUUUUAACAACACAGAGAAGGAAACAGAAGCAUGAACUACUCCAGUUUCAACAGAGACAAAAUACAGGACUCAGUAAGGAGAUGCUGACUCUGCCCCAUCCGUGUACUGUCUGUAUUCAGAAGUAUUCUUGAAGAAGAUAACUGUAGGUAUGUUAUGUAAAAUCUAGCUAUACAGUUUUGUCAAGUCAGAAACUAUAUGUAGUGCCUGUGUUUAUGGCUUACUGUUAUCUAAUAACCAACUACAGGCUGGUCUUAGAUGUAAUAAAAAUUAGGCCACUGUGUUCUCAGAAGCAGCCAUAUUAGCCUGGAAACCUGCUUGUCUGUAGGAAGCCUGUGGCUAACAGUUGAGUGACGACUAGCCAUGAGCAAAAUGAAAUUUGCAUCAAAGUUAUUAUAUGACUUUUGAAAACAGGACUUAUGCUCCCAAAUUAUCUAACUGCUUUGGAAAGGCUUAAACUCUAGUAUCUGUGUACAUACAUACUUUCUUAGCUGAUGGUCACACGGAAGAAGCUGAGACUCCUCAGAUCAUUUACAGUAUCCUCCUUGCCUCUAAAAUAUCAUUCUUUGAGUGCUCGUCUCUGUUUUCAAGUAUUAAGUUCAGUCUUCUUAGUAAUGUGUACGUUGGUUAAAUGCAGGGAGCAUCUAUUAAAGAUGCCUGAAAAUCAAACACAAAUUACAUCGCAAGUUAUCUCAAGGAAACCCAGCAUUUAAGACUGCAUUUAAAAGAUUCUGCAUUUAAAUAAAAUUAAGAAAAUAUUCGAGGUUGGGGAGGCAUUGAAAUAUCAGAAAUACAAGACCCUGAGAUGGCUAAACUUCAGUGGAGGACUGAUGCUUACAACAGAAUAGUUUCAAAGACUUUGUGCACAUAACUUUUAUAUUUAUCUAUUUUUCAUUUGUGGGUUUUUUUUAAGUUGGUAAGUAAAGCCAAUCGCUAGUGAUAAUUGGCAAAGCCAAUUUGUCUUUAAAUGAAAAAUCAUAUCCUGCUGACUAAAAUUUUAUCUAAAAUACUGUUCAGAACGGUCAUCUAUUUGGAUAUUUGAAAGCAAACAUUCAGAGCAGAUUAUAUCAUACUAAGUGCCAUAUAGAUACUAUCAUGAAUGUACUUUAUUUUUCUAGUAAAUGUAGUACUUGUGAAAGAUUCUAGAAUCAUGAUUUUGGAGGCUGAAAUAUUUUAGCCAUUAGGUUUAUUGUAUUGCAAGUUUAUUUCCCUGCACUACCCAUCUGCCAAUUGAGGGACCAUCAAGAAAGUUCAGUGAGCAUCUUAUUCUCUUUGUUUGUCUCUUGGUUUGCCCAACUGAUUGAAUCAAUUUAGCUAUCAAAAAUGAUGCUUUUUAUGAUGAGGAUACUUUUCAUUUCCAUACUCUCUGUAUUCAUCUUUCUGCUAAGUAGCUAUCAAAAGGAGACAGUUAAGGAUAUGCUUUACAGGUUCUGGUAUGAUACUCUUUCAACCAUGAAAACCAAUAUAUCCCAUGUAAAGGUUACAGUAAAAUCAGCUAACAAAUGUGUGCAGACAAACCUCUCUUAUUGUGAAUAGCUGCUAACAAUGCUUGUGGUUGUGGGGUAAAAUACCAUCAAGCUCACUGUACAAAUUAUGAUACCUUUGGGGGUUUUGUUGAUUUGUUUUUGUUUUUUUUCACAGGACCCGGGAGCUGGCUUUAAAGAUCAUGAACAUGUUCAGUAAUUCAUCAGAAGGAAAACGCUCAGUAUCACUGCAUAUAGAAUAUGUAGUAAAAAACAUCCCUAUAUAGCAUUGAUUUCAUUUUUAUUACUUCAGUUAGGUUGCUAAUAACAAAGAUAGUUUCAAAAUGCUUUCAAAGGAAGAAAGAAGUUUGGUAUUUUCUCCUGUGCCGUCACCUCCUCUGUUGUUCCCUCUUCUGUGACCUUGGUGCUGUCUGUUAUACAGUACAAGUUGUUGAUGUGAGAACUUCAAAAUUUGUAAUCUGGAUAAUCUUUGGAGUACAAGGAACAAGUUGUAGAAGAGCUUUUACUUU